UUCCUGAAGGACUAGUGGUUAGGCCUCGGUGCUCUAACUGCUGUGGCCCGGGUUCAACUCCCAGCCAGGGAA